rnacentral:rRNA from 1 species
AUAAGAGGUCCCGCCUGCCCUGUGACUAUAUGUUUAACGGCCGCGGUAUUUUGACCGUGCGAAGGUAGCGCAAUCACUUGUCUUUUAAAUGGAGACCUGUAUGAAUGGCAUAACGAGGGCUUGACUGUCUCCUCUUUCAAGUCAAUGAAAUUGAUCUCCCCGUGAAGAAGCGGGGAUAGGCACAUAAGACGAGAAGACCCUAUGGAGCUUUAGACACCAAGACAGAUUAUAUGUCCAUAAUCCUAAUNNNAAAGGGUUCAAAUUGAUCUAAUCCUGUCCUUAUGUCUUUGGUUGGGGCUACCGCGUAAUAAACAAAAUUCCCCGCACGGACCGAACGAAUANNNACGUUUACAACUAAGAGCUACAGCUCUAACUAACAGAUACUUCUGACCAAUCAGAUCCGGCAAUGCCGAUCAAUGAACCGAGUUACCCUAGGGAUAACAGCGCAAUCCCCUCUUAGAGUCCAUAUCGACGAGGAGGUUUACGACCUCGAUGUUGGAUCAGGACAUCCUAAUGGUGCAGCCGCUAUUAA